rnacentral:rRNA from 1 species
UACAGAGGUCUCAAGCGUUGUUCGGAUUCAUUGGGCGUAAAGGGUGCGUAGGCGGCGCGGUAAGUCGGGUGUGAAAUCUCGAGGCUUAACUUCGAAACUGCAUUCGAUACUGCCGUGCUUGAGGACUGGAGAGGAGACUGGAAUUUACGGUGUAGCGGUGAAAUGCGUAGAUAUCGUAAGGAAGACCAGUGGCGAAGGCGGGUCUCUGGACAGUUCCUGACGCUGAGGCACGAAGGCCAGGGGAGCAAACGGG